GAUGAACGCUGGCGGCGUGCCUAACACAUGCAAGUCGAACGGAGAUUACGGACGGAAGUUUUCGGAUGGAAGCCUGUAAUUCUUAGUGGCGGACGGGUGAGUAACGCGUGGGCAACCUGCCCUAUACAGGGGGAUAGCAGCUGGAAACGGCUGGUAAGACCGCAUAAGUCGGUUAAAUCGCAUGAUUUGAUCGGGAAAUGAGCAAUCAGGUAUAGGAUGGGCCCGCGUCCGAUUAGCCAGUUGGCAGGGUAAAAGCCUACCAAAGCGACGAUCGGUAGCCGGACUGAGAGGUCGGACGGCCACAUUGGGACUGAGACACGGCCCAAACUCCUACGGGAGGCAGCAGUGGGGGAUAUUGCACAAUGGAGGAAACUCAGAUGCAGCGACGCCGCGUGAGUGAAGAAGUAUUUCGGUAUGUAAAGCUCUAUCAGCAGGGAAGAUGAUGACGGUACCUGACUAAGAAGCCCCGGCUAACUACGUG
rnacentral:rRNA from 1 species